rnacentral:misc_RNA from 1 species
GAAAGAGAAGAAAGCCAGGAUAUCUAGGCCUGAUGGAAAGGAGUCUAGUGCAAGUAAAGGCAAUAGUAAAUCAGACAAAAAAAGUAGUCUCAAAAAGAACUGGCAACCAAGACAAGAUGUUGGGAGUACUGUGUCUCAACGGAGCUUGGAUGGUAUGGAUUCUUUGCAAAGGGAUUCUAGAUCUCUACAUCCUUCUGUGGCAGCUACUUCUAGCUCUUCUAAGGUU